UAGAAUCGGAUUCUUAUGUGUAACAUCCUAACAUGCUAGUAUAUACAGUACAUGUUAGUAUAUUGGUUUUCAUCAAGCUUGCUUAUGAUGUUUUCACAUCGAUUAAUUUUAUUAAUGUGAAAAUUAAGUUACCUCGGUCAUAAAAGAUAAAAAACGCAUACCAGUCUCAUAAAUUAUUGUGAGGUGAUCUUGUAGUAGACUUAAUUGCCAUUGAUCACAGUCAAACAAUGAGAAGUUACUAGGUCAAUGAUAGUGUUUCGAUCAGUGUAUGAAAUAUCACCAUAACUUGUAUAUCCCCUUUACAAUUUGAUUUCCCAGGAGCUAUUAUCGGUGCACGAACAGUAAGUGCACCGUUUAAAAAAGGGUGGAACGCUCCUCUGAAGCCCAAGAAUAGUGAUCACUACAUAUGAAGGGAAACAUUGUCAUCAUACAAUUGGAUUUCCAAGAAGUAGUGGAUUUCUAAGCCAUGAAAGUGGUGGCUUUCUACGGCAGUUUGCUCCUCCUUUGUCAUCUCAGACAUCGUUCCACUAUCCAGGAAUGCAAAUAUUUACACAGGAAAACUCAGUUACCAGCAGAAGCAUGGCACAAGCUUCAGUUAGUAAUGCUAAUGUUGUGCAGGCGCAGGCUCAGGAUCAUCAUGUUUAUCCGGGAACUCAAUAUCAACCCAAUAAUUUCUCCUGUUAUUCCUACCCAUGUCUUGUUUUAAGUAGAGGUAUCCUGAGUAGAUAGUGGAGCAAUGGAGAAGAAAAUUCAGAAGUAGAUUACAUCAAUCUUCUUUUACCUGGGUACAGAGGUUUGGUGAAGUAUAGUCAAGUCUUCAUGCAUGGAGUAAUUUACCACUACCAAUGAUCAUAAUUCAUGAAGCUCGUUAAAGAUACUCAAAUUAGGGGACUGCUGAUAGAUUCUAAGUUAGGAGUAUUAUCCUUGUGCCUUUCCAUAUGUAAAUUUGUCAGGUUAGGCUGUUCAGUGUGAUCUGUGAUGGUAUGAAUAAACUUUAGAGUGAUGCUAUAUGUUGUUGACCCUUUUUCCCUUUGGUUAUAGUGUGGAGGAUAUACUCAUAACGUUCAUUCGAGAUAGUUUUUAUCAGUGCACUAAAAAUGAGAGAGCGAGUGAUAGUAUAUCAGAUAUAGAUCAGUGUUUUUCUUCGUUUUUUUUUUUGUUAUUUUACCCUUUUAACAUGUUGUAACAACCAAAUC